GACGAACGCUGGCGGCGUGCUUAACACAUGCAAGUCGAACGGUGAAGCGCCUUCCUUUUUGGUGGGUGUGGAUGAGUGGCGAACGGGUGAGUAACACGUGAGUGACCUGCCCCCUUCUUCUGGAUAACCGCAUGAAAGUGUGGCUAAUACGGGAUAUUCUGGGUCUGUCGCAUGAUGGGUCUGGGAAAGAUAUUGUUUCGGUGGGGGAUGGGCUCGCGGCCUAUCAGCUUGUUGGUGGGGUGAUGGCCUACCAAGGCGGUGACGGGUAGCCGGCCUGAGAGGGUGGACGGUCACACUGGGACUGAGACACGGCCCAGACUCCUACGGGAGGCAGCAGUGGGGAAUAUUGCACAAUGGGCGCAAGCCUGAUGCAGCGACGCCGCGUGAGGGAUGGAGGCCUUCGGGUUGUGAACCUCUUUCGCCAGUGAAGCAGGCCUGCCUCGUUUGUGGGUGGGUUGACGGUAGCUGGAUAAGAAGCGCCGGCUAACUACGU
rnacentral:rRNA from 1 species